rnacentral:sRNA from 1 species
UUUUUUGUCAAACAAGCCUUGUAUUUCAUUCAAUGCAUCUCCUAAAGGUAAAGUUUACAAGAUCUUCAAGCAUACAAAGGGUUACAAAAAACUCCGAAUAACGAAAGCUAACAAUAAGGAAAAAAAGAUAGGUUUGAUAAGCCAAUGAGGAACGGAGAUGAUAAUAGGUUUUUUAAGAUCAAUUAAACCUAAAGCACUAAUUCAUAUCCAAGGAGACGGGAUCAUAAUGCCAUUAUUCAUCAAACUUUUACUUUCAAGAAUAGUACCCAUGAUGUAGCUAAAUAUAUCAAGUAUGAAAUCAAUAAUAAAAUGAAUCGGAGAUGAAAACUUGAAGAAACUACGGUAAUCACUGCUCCUUGGAGACGGGAUCAUCAUGCCGAUCUUCUUCAAGGAAUUAGCAACAUGAAUAGUACACCUAUAGAUUCUAAUGGCAAGGUUCUCAAAGGAUUUUUGUACCAACAUAGCAGCAAUGUUCGAUUAUGAUUCAAUUGAUGUCCAUUAGCAAUUGGUAUCAUGAAUCGACGCAAAUAAAAGCUAAGAGAAGACAAAAAGGAGUUUGGGUCAAACCUAUGAUUUUGCGGAGACCGUUUGGAGGGGCUGGGCCAAUCCAUUAGUGGAGAUGGGCAAUUGUUUUGGGGGAUGGGCCUAAAUUUGGUUAAUGGGCUCGAAGAACAGUGGCCCAUUAAGAGGAACCCUAACAAGGCAACAGUGUGGCAGAGGAUGGUGAUGGUGCGGCGGAUCUGAGGCGGCAGAUAAGAACUCCGAUAAACGCUAAAUGAUGCUGGUGGGAAUAAGGUCAACGUAGAUGAGAUACUGAUAAGUGUGUAUUUUGCAUGUUUUGAGCAUCCAUUUGUCAUCAUUUUAGCAUCAUAUCAUCACUGUUUUAUAUCAUUUCUCAUCAUUUAUCAUCACUUUACAUGUUUAGGAUAGGUUUGCAUGCAUGUUGCAUAUUUGUGUUGAUUUCAGGUGAUUUGGAGCUGUUGACGAGCUAACUGGAAGAAGCGGACCUGAUCAUGACAAACCACUCGACCCAGAGGUCGAGUAGGAGCUUCAAGAUCUCAACAGACCACUCGACCCCCAGGUCGAGUAGAAGACAUCACCACUUCACCUCACCACUCGGCCACAAGGUCGAGUGUCCUCAUCUCCAUCACCUGACCAUCACUCGACCACAUCACUCGACCCUGAGGUCGAGUGUCUUUACCACCAUUACCUAAUCAUCACUCGACCCCAUCACUCUACCUGGAAGUCGAGUAUCACCAUCACCACCACUCGACUACACACUCGAUGGCAAGCUUCAGAGUCUUCUUCAUUCCGCACUCAACCAGACACUCGAGCACAAGGAAGAAAAGAAGACUCCAGCUAUUCACUCGAUCCCCACUCGACCACAUGAGUCGAGUACAAUUCUUAAUCCGUCCCAAUACUGCAUCGUUUUAAGUAUUAGGGUUUCGGAAUAUUUGGCUAUAAGUAGCAUGUACUUCACAUUUUCGCAAACAAGUUUUUUAUUUAGUUUUAUUCCGCAGACCUUGUGUUCUAGACCUUUUGUAAUCCGGAUUUCUCUUUAUCUAUUCAAUAUUCAGUAUUCAGUAUUCAGUAUUCAGCUUUUGGUCUUGCUUUCGUUUACUGUUGUUCAUUCUGUUAUCACCCUUCUAUUACACUGUUGUUAUCAUGUUUUUAGCUUGUUCAACGUUUAUGCUUUCUGUUCUGAUGUCUGAGUAGUGAAUAGGUUUCUGAGGAUGGGUUAGAAUAGUGUAGAAUUCUCAGUAUGCUAGGUGAUUGAGUAUUGAUUGAUAGAUCCCUUAUGGAUUAGUUGUUCUUAAUGCCUAUUGCUUUCUGAUCAACUGGAAUUUGAGCCCAGACAUUUCCGCGCCCAAAAGGUGUUCGAUGAAAUGUCUGAACCACUAAUUCUAGAGACUUGUGGCCCUGUACCAAGGUAUUGGUUGCAGGGAGCGUUUUGGCUUUAACUUGUUGAUUCGUAAUGCCUGUUAGGUUAGCUCUCGUCAAUGGUGAUUGAGUCUGGGACUAGGUUAACUUGAGAGUCUCUAUUGCGGUGGCACUUAGAUUUGGUUAAUGAACUUGUUGUCUAGGGUUAAUUUAUUGAGCAUGUCAAUCACCUGUAAACUGAGGAAACGAAACUACUCAAUUACCCCAUCCUCGGGAAUUCUUUAUCUGAUUGAAUUUUUUGUUUACUCUACUGUUGUUUACUGCAUCUUGUUAUCUGUCGCUUAAUUUCUGCGGUUCUUUCUUGUUACUCAACCUCAUACUCGACCACCAAGUUGUCUGGCAACAGACUGUGCAGUCAAGUAUCUGUGUUUUAUUUUCUGUGUGUUACUCCUCACCUAGUGCUCUGCAAAGAGCUGUGUUGGUCGAGUGUUUUACUGUUUCUGCUUGAAUUUCUAUUUUCUGCAUGUUCACUUAGAAUUGCUAGAACACACCACAACCUGUUAUUGCUUGGCUUGACUUAGGGACUUUUGAUCACAUCUUAAUUGUUAGCAUCACACCCAUUUGGAUUGACAACCUUCAGUACUACAACGACAUGAUAGUGCUUUAGGUUUAAUUGACUGAAAAAUCUAUUAUCAAUUUGGCGCCGUUGCCAAUUGGGUGUCUGUUUUUUACAUUUGACAUUUCAGACUUGCUUAGAUCAAGUUCUUUUUCAAAUUUUCUUUUCGGUUACUAACUUUGUGUCUUUCUUGUUGUCUUCUUGAUCCAGGUACACCUCUACUGUAUGCGAACUCGAUCAACAGGCAAUCAGAACCUCCUUUUCAACGACAACAUUGACCGCAUAGCUCGCGAGCUUAGAGAAAGGUGAAACACAGUCAACCCUGUACCUCAGCAACCACUCGAAAUGGCUGACGAACAGAAUCAACAAAAUGGCCCUGCCAACAUUGGUGCUGGAGAUGCACCACGUGAUCAUCGUCAGAGGAAAGGAAUUGCACCUCCUGCUAUCCAGAACAACAACUUCGAGAUUAAGAGUGGUCUCAUCUCCAUGAUUCAGGGGAACAAAUUCCAUGGUCUGCCAAUGGAGGAUCCACUCGACCACCUUGAUGAAUUCGAUUGGCUCUACAACCUGACAAAGAUCAAUGGUGUCAGUGAAGACGGAUUCAAGCUCCGUCUGUUCCCAUUCUCCUUGGGCGACAAAGCACACAUCUGGGAGAAGAAUCUGCCCCAUGAUUCAAUCACCACCUGGGAUGAUUGCAAGAAGGCUUUUCUAUCAAAGUUCUUCUCCAAUGCCAGAACUGCAAGACUCAGAAAUGAGAUCUCUGGUUUCUCACAGAAGACUGCUGAAAGCUUCUGUGAAGCAUGGGAGCGUUUCAAGGAUUACACCAACCAAUGCCCUCAUCAUGGCUUUACUAAAGCCUCUCUGCUCAGCACUCUUUAUAGAGGAGUCCUACCACGCAUCAGAAUGCUUCUGGAUACCGCCAGCAAUGAAAAUUUCCAGAACAAGGAUGUUGAAGAAGGCUAGGAUUUGGUAGAGAACCUUGCUCAAUCAGAUGGCAAUUACAACGAGGACUGUGAUAGGACCGUCAGAGGCACAGCUGACUCUGAUGACAAACACAGGAAGGAGAUCAAAGCGCGGAUCACUCGACCAGUCACUCGAGCAACCACUCAACCAGUCACUCGAGCAACCACUCGACCAGUCACUCGACCAGUCACUCGAGCAACCACUCGAUCUGCCACUUGACAACGUUACUCGACCAACAACUCGACCUAUCUUCCCAGCAGCAUCACCAACUGCUCCAAAACCAGUUGCUGUUAAAAACAAAGAAAAGGUCUUUGUCCCUCCUCCCUACAAACCACAGCUUCCAUUUCCUGGCCGUCACAAGAAAGCGUUGGCAGAUAAAUAUAGAGCUAUGUUUGCCAAGAAUAUUAAGGAGGUUGAGUUGCGGAUACCUCUUGUUGACGCUCUAGCGCUAAUCCCAGACUCUCACAAGUUUCUGAAAGACUUGAUCGUGGAGAGAAUUCAAGAAGUGCAAGGUAUGGUGGUAUUGAGUCAUGAAUGCAGUGCUAUCAUACAAAAGAAGAUCAUUCCUAAGAAGCUUU